GACGAACGCUGGCGGCGUGCCUAAUACAUGCAAGUAGAACGCUGAAGAGAGGAGCUUGCUCUUCUUGGAUGAGUUGCGAACGGGUGAGUAAUGCGUAGGUAACCUGCCUUGUAGCGGGGGAUAACUAUUGGAAACGAUAGCUAAUACCGCAUAACAAUGGAUGACACAUGUCAUUUAUUUGAAAGGGGCAAUUGCUCCACUACAAGAUGGACCUGCGUUGUAUUAGCUAGUAGGUGAGGUAACGGCUCACCUAGGCGACGAUACAUAGCCGACCUGAGAGGGUGAUCGGCCACACUGGGACUGAGACACGGCCCAGACUCCUACGGGAGGCAGCAGUAGGGAAUCUUCGGCAAUGGGGGCAACCCUGACCGAGCAACGCCGCGUGAGUGAAGAAGGUUUUCGGAUCGUAAAGCUCUGUUGUAAGUCAAGAACGAGUGUGAGAGUGGAAAGUUCACACUGUGACGGUAGCUUACCAGAAAGAGACGGCUAACUACGUG
rnacentral:rRNA from 1 species